UGAUAAUUGAACGCUAAAGUGGACGUCCGAUGCUCUUUCGCAGAUAUGAUUAAAGCGUAACAGUAUAUAUGGAAGAUCAUUAGCUACUCCUUUCUCUCACAAUAAAGAUUUUGCGGCAAUUAAACUCGACUCUGAAUUAACAACCAUAAAUAUAACAACCGUAAAUGGAAUGGUCGCGAAAUUACGUACGGAUCAUAAUAUCAAUUAGGGAGGGAGAGAGAGAGAGAGAGAGAGAGAGAGAUGUGUUCCGCGGCAGUUUGCAAAACUUCGCGGGCAAGUGUUACUUCUUUCGGUGGAUUGCGUUUAACGAACAAGUACCAGGUUUCUCGACACCUGAUCGACCUCCGUUGAAAAAGCUUAGCCACCGACUCCGAUACCUCAUAACACCGGUUCAAUGAUAAACCGUUACCUCCGCUCGCUAAGCCCGUAAUUACCGAUAAUUAGGGCGCGAUUCGUUCUAGCGAACGCUCGCUACUUGCGCCAAAACGCAUGAAAUAUACAUCUGAAAAUUUGAAUCGUUGCAUGUGUACACCGGGUGAUCGUCGACGCGUCGAUAUACGCCGGGCGUAUCCGAAUCGGAGGUGAGUCGCAAACCGCUUAUCGCAUGUAAAACACGUACCUCGCGUCGGACGAACGAGUAGGAUGAGCAUUCGAAACGAGAAACGAAACACAAUAGGAUAGCCUUACGAAUAGGCAUCGGCGUUGGCGAUAUUUUGCCCGUUUGGUGGGAGGGUAGAGCGAAUCUGAGAGGCACAGAGGGGAGAGCCCCAAAGGCUGGAAGGCCUCCUCUUACACGCCACUCGCCUCAUGACCGGCGUCAGUGACUUCGCGUCCACCGCCACGAUCACAUCUUCAUCCAAAAAGAAAAGACGCGAUACCCUGAAAAAAGGAGGCUGAUUAAUUCGCGACUCGAAUUCAACCGUAUCGAAAUCACCGAGGAUAUCUCAGGGUCGAAGGAGAGGAAAUGCUUCUGAACGUGAAGGGUCAUUCGAAUGCCUACUUGUAGUGCCUCGACGGCAAGACGCAUCGAUCGCACAAAUGAUCCUGAUUCAUCGAUCGAUCACCCAUGAAUGGAUCGUGAAUCUUUCCCGGAUGCAAAUUAUCCGGAAGAAACAGUUCGAGCAUUUAGAUAACUUCUCUUCAUCGAUGUCGACGUCGAUUCGCUACAACAAAAAUACCGAACUCGACUUGUGAGAUGUGAGAAC